rnacentral:snoRNA from 1 species
AGUCCAUGAUGAGGGACCUUCCUUAGUAAUUCCUUGUAACGCUCUCAUGAAUCAUACAAUGACUCCCUGUCCUGCUAAGAGAAAGUGGUGAUAUCAUUUCGCAUCUU